UACGUAGGGGGCAAGCGUUGUCCGGAUUUAUUGGGCGUAAAGAGCGUGUAGGCGGCUUUGCAAGUCCGUUGUGAAAACUCGAGGCUCAACCUCGAGACGCCGGUGGAAACUGCAAAGCUAGAGUCCGGAAGAGGAGAGUGGAAUUCCUGGUGUAGCGGUGAAAUGCGCAGAUAUCAGGAGGAACACCGGUGGCGAAGGCGGGGUCUCUGG
rnacentral:rRNA from 1 species